rnacentral:rRNA from 1 species
CUACGGUGAAUACGUUCCCGGACCUUGUACACACCGCCCGUCAAGCCAUGGAAGCUGGGUGUACCUAAAGUCGAUAACCGUAAGGAGUCGCCUAGGGUAAAACUGGUAACUGGGGCU